GCUAUCAUGCAGCAGCAGCACAUGGUCGCGGCGUGCAAGCCCCCCCACGCCGUGCGGCGGGCGGCGCUCCCGCUGCCCGGGCCGUCGCUCCGACGAGCUUUCCCUUGCAAUCCAGCGAGGGCGCGAGAGGCGGUGAGGACGAGAUGCCAGGAAGAGAAGCAGAGCGGUGAUGGCGGCGAGAAGAAGAAGCAGCAGGAGCAGGAGAAGAGGACGUUCCUGAGCCUGGAGGAGGCCGGGCUGGUGGAGAUGUCCGGGCUCAGCACCCACGAGCGCUUCCUCUGCCGCCUCACCAUCUCGUCGCUGAACCUGCUGCGGGUGAUCUCGGAGCAGGAGGGGGUGGCGAUGGAGGAGCUCAACGCGGGGCGGGUGUGCGACUGGUUCCUCAAGGACAAGCUCAAGCGGGAGCAGAACCUCGACACCGCCGUCCUGCAGUGGGACGACCCCCCGCCCAUCUGA
rnacentral:rRNA from 1 species